rnacentral:misc_RNA from 1 species
GAUGAAGAACGUAGUGAAAUGCGAUAAGUAAUGUGAAUUGCAGAAUUCAGUGAAUCAUCGAAUCAUUGAACGCACCUUGCGCCCUUUGGACAUUCCGAAGGGCAUGCCUGUUUGAGUAUCAUGAACACCUCAACUCUCACGGCUUGUCCGUGAUGAGCUUGGACUUUGGGGGUCUUGCCGGCCUGUGGUCGACUCCUCUCAAAUGGAUCAGCUUGCCAGUGUUUGGUGGCAUCACAGGUGUGAUAACUAUCUGCGCUUGUGGUUUUCCAUCAGAUAACCUUCAGUGAUAUGGAGGUUCGCUGGAGCUCACAAAUGUCUCUCCUUAGUGAGGACAGCUCUUUGAACGUUUGAUCUCAAAUCAGGUAGGACUACCCGCUGAACUUAAGCAUAUCAAUAAGCGGAGGA